CAACCAGUAUGUACACCAUCCUUAGCCAGGGGAAGAUGGAGAACAUAGGGUUUGAACUCUUAGUUUUUCAGAGAGAAAUGACAAACCAGGAAACUCUGAGACCUUCUGUGGGAAGAGGAGGAAGACUGCAAGCACACCAAAGCUAAGAGACUGGGAACCAGGAGUUACUACAGACACCAAAUAGGAAAAGCCUUGCCUUGCUAUGAGCAGCCCAAAAAUUUAAGAUGACGGGAAGAAUCCUUCAUUCAUGCUUGACAUUCACAUCUACCUAUUAUUCUAACUGCUUUCCCUUCACCCUGACGUCUGGAAAGAAGCAGGACAGAAGGGCCGCCCACAUCCUGAAACAAAUACACAACCAGCUGCUGCUAGGGAUACCAAAGAGGAGGCACUGCAGGUUCUGACAAUGGGAAAAAACAAACAUGAAAGGCUUCUCCAUCUCCAAGCUUUGCUUUUCUGCCACCGCAGCUCCAAACUGACCACAGCUGUCUGGGCUCCUGAAAUUUCUUCAUCUCUCCAUCCCCAAAUUAAAUUGCAUCCAUAUUCACCUGUAUAUUCUUUCUAUUGAUGCGAGUUCUCCCCAUCAUCCCUUAUUUUCUUAUUUUUAAUCAAUAACAAUCUCAUAAACUAAAAAUACAACUACCUCAUCUUAGUCUGGUUAAUAAUCCCUCACAUUAGGAACCUCUCUGGUUAAUGCACUUUCAGUUCUUGUCUUCAAUAUGAUUCUAUCUUCUGACUUUCAUCUUCUAUACACUUAACCAGUGUGCCACAGGUAGAAAAGCUGAAACACAUUGCAUCAUUACUCUUGCAUAUGACCAUAGUACAUAUGCUAUUUAUUCUCCUCCACAAAACUGUGUACUACUUUGCAUCAAACAGGCACUGGGUUCUCACAAGAAGUAUGAGCAAGUAGCUACAAAACAACGAACAAAAGACUGUUUCACACUUGGUCCACUGCAAAGAUAAAGCUUGAAUGCUCGGCACAUAUCAAGUCAGCAUGACUGCCUGUCUGCCUGCAAAACCUUCAGAAAAAUUUUCCUUCCCAUGUUUACUUGAAUCUCAUAGGCAAAGUGUUUGGCAAAUACUCUUAAUAAGAACAAAACUCUCACACUAGUAACUUCAACAUUGCUUAGUUAGGUCUAACUUACAGGUCUGUACACUAGCUGGCAGAAACUUUGCCAAGUUGAGAUUGAAAGAUGAUGAAAGCAAGCCUUGACCCUAGCUAUAUACAAAGAACAGAAAAUUCCGUAACAAUUAAAAAAUGUUAAUAUUUCAGAAACAGUGUACUAUUUUUGAAAUUUCAAUAGGCAGAAAUUUCGCUUAUGAAUUAACCCCUACUCCCUGACUAAAUAUAACAAAUGUUGAGACAAGAAGCCUAAGCAUGUCACAGCACUGACGGUUCUACUCCACUUGAAGAUUUUACAGCCAUACC
rnacentral:lncRNA from 14 species